rnacentral:rRNA from 1 species
UGCAAGUCGAACGGCAGCGCGGACUUCGGUCUGGCGGCGAGUGGCGAACGGGUGAGUAAUGUAUCGGAACGUGCCCAGUAGCGGGGGAUAACUACUCGAAAGAGUAGCUAAUACCGCAUACGCCCUACUGGGGAAAGGGGGGGAUCGCAAGACCUCUCACUAUUGGAGCGGCCGAUAUCGGAUUAGCUAGUUGGUGAGGUAAAGGCUCACCAAGGCGACGAUCCGUAGCUGGUUUGAGAGGACGACCAGCCACACUGGGACUGAGACACGGCCCAGACUCCUACGGGAGGCAGCAGUGGGGAAUUUUGGACAAUGGGGGAAACCCUGAUCCAGCCAUUCCGCGUGUGCGAUGAAGACCUUCGGGUUGUAAAGCACUUUUGGCAGGAAAGAAAUCGCAUGGAUUAAUACUCUGUGUGGAUGACGGUACCUGCAGAAUAAGCACCGGCUAACUACGUGCCAGCAGCCGCGGUAAUACGUAGGGUGCAAGCGUUAAUCGGAAUUACUGGGCGUAAAGCGUGCGCAGGCGGUUCGGAAAGAAAGGUGUGAAAUCCCAGGGCUUAACCUUGGAACUGCACUUUUAACUACCGAGCUAGAGUAUGUCAGAGGGGGGUGGAAUUCCGCGUGUAGCAGUGAAAUGCGUAGAUAUGCGGAGGAACACCGAUGGCGAAGCAGCCCCCUGGGAUAAUACUGACGCUCAUGC